rnacentral:rRNA from 1 species
AAGCCAGACCGGAAGGACUGGUGGAGCGCUUAGAAGUGAGAAUGCCGGUAUGAGUAGCGAAAACAGAGGUGAGAAUCCUCUGCGCCGAAAGCCUAAGGGUUCCUGAGGAAGGUUCGUCCGCUCAGGGUUAGUCGGGACCUAAGCCGAGGCCGAAAGGCGUAGGUGAUGGACAACAGGUUGAGAUUCCUGUACCACCUCCUUCCCGUUUAAGCGAUGGGGGGACGCAGGAGGAUAGGGCGAGCAGGCGGCUGGAAGAGCCUGUCCAAGCCGCAAGGCUGAUCCGUAGGCAAAUCCGCGGAUUGUAAGGCCAAGCGGUGAUGGCGACGGAGUCAUCCGGAAGUCCCCGAUUUCACACUGCCAAGAAAAGCCUCUAGCGAGGGAAGAGGUGCCCGUACCGCAAACCGACACAGGUAGGCG